CCCUUAGAUGUUCUGGGCCGCACGCGCGCUACACUGACGAUGGCAACGAGUUUUUCCUUCGCCGAAAGGUGUGGGUAAUCUUUUGAAACAUCGUCGUGCUGGGGAUAGAUCAUUGCAAUUUUUGAUCUUGAACGAGGAAUUCCUAGUAAGCGCGAGUCAUCAGCUCGCGUUGAUUACGUCCCUGCCCUUUGUACACACCGCCCGUCGCUACUACCGAUUGAAUGGUUUAGUGAGGACUCCUGAUUGGCGCCGCCGCCCCGGCAACGGAGCAGCGGACUGCCGAAAAGUUGUUCAAACUUGAUCAUUUAGAGGAAGUGAAAGUCGUAACA
rnacentral:rRNA from 1 species